rnacentral:rRNA from 1 species
UACGUAGGGUCCAAGCGUUAUCCGGAAUUACUGGGCGUAAAGCGCGUGUAGGCGGCCUAGUGUGUCGGGCGUGAAAUCCCACGGCUCAACCGUGGAAGUGCACUCGAAACUGCAAGGCUGGAGUACUGGAGAGGAUGGUAGAAUGCUCGGUGUAGAGGUGAAAUUCGUAGAUAUCGAGCGGAAUACCGGUGGCGAAGGCGGCCAUCUGGACAGUCACUGACGCUGAGACGCGAAAGCGUGGGGAGCAAACAGG